rnacentral:lncRNA from 1 species
GGGCUUGGGCUUGGGCUUGGGCUUGGGUGGAGGGCCUUUGGCCCGAUAAGAAGUAUUCUUUUUGGACCAAGUUAAGCUCAACGUUUUGCCAUUUAUUUCGGGGAAAAAACAUCAUACAAUUUUAUUUAAAACGACAAGUAGUUUGUCUAGAAAAUAAAAACGUCAUGCAUGUUAUCCUCUCGAAAUUUUUAAACGAGAUAAGAGAGAGUCUUGAGGAAGAAGUUUCGGAACUCAACUUCCCUCGAUCUCCGCGAGAUUCUCGCCCACGUGCAGCAGCUGUUGCGGGAAGUGGGUCGUCUCCGUCUCUUUAAAUAUCAUCUCUUCUCUUCCUUCAUUUUUUAACCUUUUCUGAAUCGAAAUCCAACAGCAAAAUUCCCUCUGCGUAAGUCUAUUAUUGCGAGAGUGUUUCGUAGAUUUUUUGUUCGAUAGGGCGAUCACGGGUGAGGCGUGAGUCGUCUGCCAUGGUUGUAUCCUGGGACUCUAUAUUCGUACAGUCCCUUCUCUCUCCAAUGCUAUGUUGCAGGAAUCUGGGUUAGAUUCUGUUUGAUUUUGUUUUCCCUUAGAACCUGGUCUCGGGAACCUUGCUCAGCAAGAAUGGAUUCGCCACAAGCUUUGAGGCGGAUAAGCUCGUGAUUAGGAAGAAUGGGAUGUAUUUGGGAAGGGGUUAUGUUAAGGGUGGACUUGUCAAGUUGAAUGUAAUGACAGUCACUCCAAAAGUUGUAGCUCCAAAAGUUUCAAUGAAUAAGAAUGAGCCAGUUGCUUAUUUGGUUGAGUCUUUUAAUAUAUGGCAUGAAAGAUUAGGCCAUGUAAACUACAAAUCUAUACAAAGAUUAAUGAAUCUAAAUCUAAUUCCUAAAUGCAAAACAAGUAAACAAAAAUGUGAAGUAUGCGUACAGGCUAAGCUCACAAAAAUACCAUCACCUCGUGUUGAAAGAACUAAUAAACCUCUAGAUUUAAUUCACACUGAUUUAUGUGAUUUAAAAUACUUACAAACUAGAGGUGGUAAAAAGUACUUUGUGACCUUCAUAGAUGACUGCACAAAAUAUUGUUAUGUUUAUUUAUUACAUAGCAAAGAUGAAACCUUGGAAAAAUUUAAAGAAUUUAAACUCGAGGUCGAGAAUCAGCUUAAAACAACUAUUAAAGUAGUUAGAAGCGACAGAGGAGGCGAGUAUGAUGGUCCGUUCAAUGCAUUCUGUAAAGAACAUGGAAUAAUCCAUCAAACUACAGCUCCGUACUCACCAGAAUCUAAUGGAGUUGCUGAACGAAAAAAUCGAACUCUAAAAGAGAUGAUGAAUGCUAUGUUGCAGGAAUCUGGGUUACCCCAGAACAUGUGGGGGGAAGCAUUGCUUACCACUAAUUAUAUCCUCAACAAAAUUCCACACAAAAUAACUGGCAAAACUCCAUAUGAAUUAUGGAAAGGUAAUUUACCUUCGUAUAAAUACCUCAAAGUGUGGGGGUGCCUGGCAAAAGUUGCGGUACCACCACCAAAGAAGGUCACUAUUGGACCUAAAACAGUGGAUUGCAUCUUCAUCGGAUAUGCACAUAACAGUAAUGCUUAUCGAUUUCUGGUACAUAAAUCUGAAAUAUCAGAUAUUCAUGAAAAUACAGUCAUGGAAUCAAGAAAUGCAUCUUUCUUCGAGAAUAUUUUUCCAUAUAGGGAAAAACAAGGUUCAAAACGAACUCGAGAAGAAAGAGACAAUGACAAGAACUCAGAAACUGAGACAAACGUCGAGAUUUCUAUAAAUGAUAUUUCAGAAAAUGAAGAAAAAGAUGAACCUCGAAGAAGCAAAAGAGCUCGAAAGGAAAAAUCUUUUGGAGAAGAUUUCUUAAUGGCAUUUUUAGUAGAAAAUGCUCCAAAAACUUUGGCAGAAGCCAUGGCUUCACCAGAAGCUCCAUUUUGGAACGAAGCUGUCAGGAGUGAAUUAGAUUCGAUUAUGCAAAAUUAUACGUAUUACAUAACGGAUUUACCACCUGGCUGCAAAGCAUUAGGGAAUAAAUGGAUAAUGACACGCAAACCUGGUGGAAAAUACAAGUCUAGGCUUGUAGUUCAAGGAUUCCGACAAAAAGAAGGCCUUGACUAUUUUGAUACAUAUUCUCCAGUGACGAGAAUAACAUCAAUAAGACUGAUGAUAGCAAUCGCAGCCUUAAGAGACUUAGAAAUCCAUCAAAUGGAUGUAAAAACUGCUUUUCUAAAUGGUGAUUUAGAAGAGGAAAUUUACAUGAAACAACCUGAAGGUUUUGUCAUUCCCGGACAGGAAGACAAAGUAUGUCGACUUGUAAAGUCACUUUAUGGGCUUAAACAAGCUCCUAAACAAAACCCGACAGAUAUUAACUAUGAGUGGUUCAAGGCUUAAAAAUGCCACCAACUCAAACACAGUGAAUUUUUCGCAAACACUCUCGAUAAGUCUGUCUAGUCUAGUCCAGAUUAGAAUAAGUAUAGUUUUUUAGAGUCUAUCGAGUCUGCAUUUAGUCUGCAUAUGUUUAGAAGAGUCAUUUCUAUUCAUGUGGGGGAUUGUUGGAUCCAUUAAUAGCCUUUAGGCUUUAAUGAAAUAUGUGAAAAGCAAAUGACUUGGGCCUGUGUGAUCAACAGCCCAAAGUAUCAUCAUUUAUGAUGUAAGGAGACUUGUCCCACAUCGCUUAGAGGAAGAGAAGUUGAGCAAUAUAUAUAUGUUCACUUACCAUGAAAGCUUAAACAGCUUGGAGAGAGAAGAAAGCUCCCCACGCGCGCGCCGCCGCCGCCGUCCGGCCGGCUCGGCUCGGCUCGGCUCGGCUCGGCGUGGGCGUGGGCUUGGGCUUGGGCUUGGGCUUGGGCUUGGGCUUGGGCUUGGGCUUGGGCUUGGGCUUGGGCUUGGGCUUGGGUGGAGGGCCUUUGGCCCGAUAAGAAGUAUUCUUUUUGGACCAAGUUAAGCUCAACGUUUUGCCAUUUAUUUCGGGAAAAAACAUCAUACAAUUUUAUUUAAAACGACAAGUAGUUUGUCUAGAAAAUAAAAACGUCAUGCAUGUUAUCCUCUCGAAAUUUUUAAACGAGAUAAGAGAGAGUCUUGAGGAAGAAGUUUCGGAACUCAACUUCCCUCGAUCUCCGCGAGAUUCUCGCCCACGUGCAGCAGCUGUUGCGGGAAGUGGGUCGUCUCCGUCUCUUUAAAUAUCAUCUCUUCUCUUCCUUCAUUUUUUAACCUUUUCUGAAUCGAAAUCCAACAGCAAAAUUCCCUCUGCGUAAGUCUAUUAUUGCGAGAGUGUUUCGUAGAUUUUUUGUUCGAUAGGGCGAUCACGGGUGAGGCGUGAGUCGUCUGCCAUGGUUGUAUCCUGGGACUCUAUAUUCGUACAGUCCCGUCUCACUAACGGAGCGAAUAUUUUGAGUUAAGGAAAGAGAUCAUAUCUCGCCUCCAUGUCUCGUUGCGAAUACGGUUUCUUAUCGUUCUCGUAUUCGUUUUCUAUAUUCGUCUAUUUCCUUAACUUCGCUUUUAUUAUAUCGUUUACAUCAGUCCGGUUUACCGGCAUUAACAACUAUUAGCGUGAUGACUUUGUAUUUUAUAUUGAGUGGGCAUUUACAUCGUAACCGUAGACCCUAACUUUCAUUUUGAAAUCUAAUGAAACGUUUCAAAUUUCGAAAACGGUUUUCGUUCAGUUUUAAGUUUUAACGUAGUUGGAGAACUUGAGUGUGUUUGGUCAAGCGUUCCGGUUUGGUUCGGUUCGAGGAGAACUAAAUACAGCUCGUGAACCUGGCUAAUAUGGAGUUUUUGUAUCGGUUUGGAUGUAACUCGUAAAGUUAUUUUUUAUUUUUAUUUUUUUGUCAACACUAGUUCGAGUUAUUCAUGUGGCAAUCCAAUGAAACUAAGCCUGGUUUGGUUAUCGGAUUGAUCCUGUUAUGUGAUUUAACCGAAAAUUUCACGCGAGCUACUAUGGUCAACAAGAUUUUUUGAUGGUUUUGAGUCUUUUGACUUGUGAUUUACAACUAACCACGCCAUGAAUAUGCGAUGCAUUUGAAUUAUUGAUUAAGCAGUCGUUGAGUUUUGAUCCAACACAUCUACAAACUUGGUUUACUCCAAAAGAUCUAAUAUUUUUAUAUAACUAAUGAUGUCUAGGAAACAGUCACAAGACUCACCAACAUACACGGGAGUGAUCCAAAAUGUUUUCUUAAAAAUAGAUUGUGC